UGCAAGUCGAACGGGCACUUCGGUGCUAGUGGCAGACGGGUGAGUAACGCGUGGGAACGUGCCUUUCGGUUCGGAAUAAUCCAGGGAAACUUGGACUAAUACCGGAUACGCCCUUCGGGGGAAAGAUUUAUCGCCGAAAGAUCGGCCCGCGUCUGAUUAGCUAGUUGGUGAGGUAAAGGCUCACCAAGGCGACGAUCAGUAGCUGGUCUGAGAGGAUGAUCAGCCACAUUGGGACUGAGACACGGCCCAAACUCCUACGGGAGGCAGCAGUGGGGAAUAUUGGACAAUGGGCGCAAGCCUGAUCCAGCCAUGCCGCGUGAGUGAUGAAGGCCUUAGGGUUGUAAAGCUCUUUUGUCCGGGAAGAUAAUGACUGUACCGGAAGAAUAAGCCCCGGCUAACUUCGUGCCAGCAG
rnacentral:rRNA from 1 species